CUAACUCGCUCACAGCCACACACUUGGCUGAGCAUCCAAAGGCAACUUCCUGCUAGAACGUUCCUUCUCCUCUCUGUAUGGCUGGUCUAGAAGUUCUCCAAAGUGACUUCCUUCCCCCUCAGCAGCUCACUUUCCUUUUUUCCUUAGGGCAAGCAUGUUCUUGCCCUUUCUGUAAUGAUGGAAAUGUCCUCUGCACUGUCCAUCAUGACAUAGAGAGAGAGAGGCAGAGACACAGGAGGAGGGAGAAGCAGGCUCCAUGCCGGGAGCCCGACGCGGGACUCGAUCCCGGGACUCCAAGAUCGCACCCUGGGCCAAAGGCAGGCGCCAAACCGCUGAGCCAACCAGAGAUCCCCUAUAAAGCAUUUUAAUUGUAGUUUUAUUAUGAGACCUCAAUAAACUGCAAUUUAUCUUUUCACAUACCUGCUUUUCCCUCUAGAGUGGAAGCCCUCGAGGGCAAGGACAUAUUGACUGCAAUAUCCUCACUCCCUAGAGCACUGCCUGGCACAUAGUGGGUGCUAUUAAAUGUUCCCUGAAGGAAUAUAUAACCACAGAAAUGUGAUACUUGGUUAGAUUCAUGAUCCACCCAACCAGCAGUCUGUCUCCAACGGGAGUCAAAAAUCCCAAAGGAAUCUGAAGCAACUGGUGCUGAGGUCAAUCUCCCAUGAAUUCAUGGACUCCCUCCCUACUUGAUUAUAUGUUCAGUUUCUAGUGUCUUAAGGAAUAAAAAAUUCUCUAAGUGUACUAGUCACAAAUAGGACCUUGUUUUUUCUUUUCUUUCUUUUUGUGCGUGUAUCCUAAAACCUCAUCUACUUCUAAUAACACAAUAUUUGGUGAAGAUUUCAAGAUUAUAAUAGUCACAUCCAUGACUUUCAUAGUUUUAUGAACUUGUUUUUUUUCAGCUCAGGUCAUGAUCCCAGAGUCCUGGGAUCCCUGCCCAGA